AAACCGAGGUGGCAAGCGUUGUUCGGAAUUAUUGGGCGUAAAGAGCACGUAGGUGGAUUUGUUAGUCAGAUGUGAAAGCCUUUUGUUCAACGGAAGAAUUGCAUCUGAAACUACAAACCUUGAGUAUAGGAGGGGAGAGUGGAACUUCUGGUGGAGCGGUGAAAUGCGUAGAUAUCAGAAGGAACGCCGGCGGCGAAAGCGACUCUCUGGCCUAUAACUGACACUGAGUGUGCGAAAGCUAGGGGAGCAAACGGGAUUAGAUACCCCAGUAGUCC
rnacentral:rRNA from 1 species